UGCGUAGGGGGCGAGCGUUGUCCGGAUUUAUUGGGCGUAAAGAGCUCGUAGGCGGCUCAGUAAGUCAGGUGUGAAAACUCCAGGCUCAACCUGGAGACGCCACUUGAUACUGCUGUGGCUAGAGUCCGGUAGGGGAGCAUGGAAUUCCUGGUGUAGCGGUGAAAUGCGCAGAUAUCAGGAGGAACACCAGUGGCGAAGGCGGUGCUCUGGGCCGGAACUGACGCUGAGGAGCGAAAGCGUGGGGAGCAAACAGG
rnacentral:rRNA from 1 species